UGAAUUGCGAUGCAACAAAGGAGUAGGCGGUGGGAUCUCGCUGUGUGUCUGAGUUAGCCCUUUCUCUGCCUUGCUUGUUUGAGCUUCAGCUGGAUUCGAGAUGGCUGGCGGUAAGGCUGGGAAGGACUCCGGAAAGGCCAAGACAAAUGCCGAUUCUCGCUCUCAGAGAGCUGGCUUGCAGUUGAGGGUGAGAAAUCCAGGUCUAUCAAUCAUGGACGUGUGGGCGCGGUGCAGCCAUCCUGUACUUCGUCACAGAGGUGCUUCAACUGGCAGGAAGUGCACCAAAGAGUUAAAGUUAUUGCCCCUUGUCACUCGCAACUUGCUGUUCAUGGAGAUGAAGCAUUGGACUCUCUCCUCAAGGCUAUGAUUGCUGGUGGUGGUGUCAUUCCACACAUCGCAAUUCUGUGGGAAGAAAGGUCAACAGAAGACUGUCGGGAUGCCUGGUUUCCUCAUUAUCUCAGGACUCUAA